GGGGGAAUUUUGGACAAUGGGCGCAAGCCUGAUCCAGCCAUGCCGCGUGCGGGAAGAAGGCCUUCGGGUUGUAAACCGCUUUUGUCAGGGAAGAAAUCCUUUGGGCUAAUACCCCGGGGGGAUGACGGUACCUGAAGAAUAAGCACCGGCUAACUCCGUGCCAGCAGCCGCGGUAAUACGUAGGGUGCAAGCGUUAAUCGGAAUUACUGGGCGUAAAGCGUGCGCAGGCGGUUAUGCAAGACAGAUGUGAAAUCCCCGGGCUCAACCUGGGAACUGCAUUUGUGACUGCAUAGCUAGAGUGCGGCAGAGGGGGAUGGAAUUCCGCGUGUAGCAGUGAAAUGCGUAGAUAUGCGGAGGAACACCGAUGGCGAAGGCAAUCCCCUGGGCCUGCACUGACGCUCAUGCACGAAAGCGUGGGGAGCAAACAGGAUUAGAUACCCUGGUAGUCCACGCCCUAAACGAUGUCAACUGGUUGUUGGGAAGGUUCCUUCUCAGUAACGUAGCUAACGCGUGAAGUUGACCGCCUGGGGAGUACGGCCGCAAGGUUG
rnacentral:rRNA from 1 species